UACGUAGGAUGCAAGCGUUGUCCGGAUUUACUGGGCGUAAAGCGCGCGCAGGCGGCACACCAAGUACCCUAUGAAAUCUCCUUGCUCAACGGGGAGGGUGUGGGGUAGACUGGUGAGCUAGAGGACGGUAGAGGGGGGGUAGAAUUGCUGGUGUAGCGGUGAAAUUCGUAGAUAUUCGCAAGAACACCAGUGGCGAAGGCGGCUCACUGGCCCGGUACUGACGCUGAGGUGCGAAAGCGUGGGGAGCAAACAGG
rnacentral:rRNA from 1 species